CCUUAAUCUGGGUUGAGUGCGCUGGUAUCCAGCGUGCUCUUCCCCAGGUCUUACCCUUGUUUUUUGCGCACUCAGUGUUUCCUCGGCGUGGCUUGCCCGCCGGUUGGAUAACUCUUAUAACCUUUUUGUAAUCUUGAAUCAGCGUCUGAAAUUAUUGAAUAAUUA
rnacentral:misc_RNA from 1 species